GCCGCAAGGUUAAAACUCAAAUGAAUUGACGGGGGCCCGCACAAGCGGUGGAGCAUGUGGUUUAAUUCGAUGCAACGCGAAGAACCUUACCUACUCUUGACAUCCAGAGAACUUUCCAGAGAUGGAUUGGUGCCUUCGGGAACUCUGAGACAGGUGCUGCGUGGCUGUCGUCAGCUCGUGUUGUGAAAUGUUGGGUUAAGUCCCGCAACGAGCGCACCCCUUAUCCUUUGUUGCCAGCGGUCCGGCCGGGAACUCUAAGGAGACUGCCAGUGAUAAACUGAAGGAAGGUGGGGAUGACGUCAAGUCAUCAUGGCCCUUACGAGUAGGGCUACACACGUGCUACAAUGGCGCAUACAAAGAGAAGCGACCUCGCGAGAGCAAGCGGACCUCAUAAAGUGCGUCGUAGUCCGGAUUGGAGUCUGCAACUCGACUCCUUGAAGUCGGAAUCGCUAGUAAUCGUAGAUCACAAUGCUACGGUGAAUACGUUCCCGGGCCUUGUACACACCGCCCGUCACACCAUGGGAGUGGGUUGCAAAAGAAGUAGGUGGCUUAACCUUCGGGAGGGCGCUUACCACUUUGUGAUUCAUGACUGUGGGUGAAGUC
rnacentral:rRNA from 1 species